rnacentral:misc_RNA from 1 species
UUUUUUUUUUUUUUCUCUAUUUAUCUAUGUUGUAAAUGGAAGGGGUUUUGGAUGGGAAUGUUCUGUUGCUUAAUUUGUGACUUUUUAUGUAGAUUCAAUCCCGUUUUGUAUUAUAAACUGAAGUUUUAAGAUUAUAGGUUUCCUAUCCAGGAGCAGUAGUUCCAAUUUGACAGUAAUAGCUGGUUUUACCGAUCUGCCUGGCAUUUAUAGUUGUUACCAUCUCAUGGAUCCUUCCAUGCGGUAGCCUAGAUAUUGGAGCAUGAGAAAUGAAAAUUUAGAAAUUUAGAUUGGUAAUUCUACCUCGGUGAAUUAUAAAUAUCUUCAAAUUGUGAGAAUAUGCACCAGAAGGCCAAGAUAGUUUUGUUUUGUACAUUAUUAUUUGAGUUCCAUCUUCAACAUGUUUUAUUUUAGCAGGGCGUUGUUCCUGAUGGCUGAUUUUUCUUGCUCUUUUCUCCUUAAGAUCCAGCCAACUUAAUUUUCUCAUUUGGUACUGAUACUGCCUAGCAAAAGUGAACUCACGACUAUUGGCGCACUCUUUAUUACUGUUUUGCAUAUUGUUUUGUUGCAGUGGGUUUUUGAAUCAGAUGGCUGAAAGCUGGGAUGCAAGUUAUGACCCUGGUAGCCAGUCAGAGGACAGUUACCAUUUUGAGAGAUUUCAUAUAGAACCUAUUUAUGAUGCAUUUGUUUGCCCUUUAACAAAGCAAGUCAUGCGUGAUCCUGUGACCUUAGAAAAUGGGCAAACUUUUGACCGUGAAGCGAUAGAAAGGUGGUUCAGGGAAUGCAGGGAGAGUGGAAGGAAAUUGGUUUGCCCCUUGACACAAAAAGAACUAAAAAGCGCAGACCUGAACCCAAGCAUAGCAUUGCGGAACACCAUUGAAGAGUGGACUGCUAGAAAUGAAGCUGUUCAACUUGAUAUGGCUCGAAGGUCAUUAAAUACUACCAGUCCAGAAAGUGAUGUUCUGCAGUCUUUGAAGUAUGUUGAAUAUAUCUGCCGAAAGAAUCGAUCAAAUAAGCAUGUUGUGCGCAAUGCUGAGCUAAUACCUAUGAUUGUUGAGACAUUGAAGAGUAGCAGCCGUAGAGUUAGAUGUAAAGCUUUGGAAACACUUAAAAUUGUUGUAGAGGAAGAUGCUGAUAAUAAGGUUGUCCCAAGUUUGCUGUUUUUGCAUAUAGCUUUUAUCAUGUCACUGGGGUGACUGUGUCAUUUGGUGUCUCAUUUUAGUGGGCUUUUCUGAUUUGCAGGCAAUAGUGGCUGAAGGUGACACUGUGCGCACAAUAGUUAAGUUCUUGUCUCAUGAGCAAUCCAAAGAAAGGGAGGAAGCUGUCUCAUUGCUGCAUGAGCUCUCUAAGUCUGAAGCUUUGUGUGAAAAGAUUGGUUCAAUCAAUGGAGCAAUUCUUAUAUUGGUUGGAAUGACAAGCAGCAAAUCGGAAAAUAUUUUAACUGUUGAAAUGGCUGAGAAAACGCUUGAAAAUCUGGAAAAAUGUGAUAACAAUGUGCGUCAGAUGGCUGAAAGUGGUAGAUUGCAGCCUCUUCUGAAUCAGCUUCUCGAAGGCCCACCGGAAACCAAACUAUCCAUGGCUUCAUACCUUGGUGAACUGGUUUUGAGUAGUGAUGUGAAAGUCCAUGUGGCUAGUACCGUUGGUUCAUCCCUAAUCGAUAUUAUGAGAAGUGGUAACACACAGUCAAGGGAAGCUGCUUUGAAAGCUUUGAACCAAAUUUCAUCAUCUUGUGGGCCAAGUGCUAAGGUGUUGAUUGAAGCAGGAAUUCUUCCUCCUCUUGUCAAUGACCUCUUUACAGUUGGCUCAAGUCAGCUUCCCAUGCGACUGAAAGAGGUUGCAGCAACAAUCCUUGCUAACAUUGUGAGCUCAGACUAUGAAUUUGACUCAAUUCCUGUUGGAACUGACCAUCAGACUCUGGUAUCAGAAGAUAUAGUACAUAGGCUACUCCAUCUAAUUAGCAACACUGGGCCAUCUAUCGAAUGCAAACUUCUGCAGGUUCUUGUUGGGCUGACCAGUUCUCCUGCUACUGUUCUGAAUGUUGUUACUGCCAUUAAAAGCUCUGGUGCUACUACCAGUUUGGUUCAGUUUAUUGAGGUCCCCCAGAAGGAUCUGCGUGUAGCUUCCAUAAAACUUCUCCAGAACCUCUCUCGACACAUGGGUCAGGAACUAGCUAAUGCCCUUCGUGGUACAGUUGGCCAGCUUGGCAGCCUAAUUAGAGUCAUAACGGAGAACAUAGGAAUUACAGAAGAGCAGGCAGCUGCUGUUGGCCUUUUAGCUGAACUCCCAGAGAGAGAUUUGGGUCUUACACGGCAGAUGCUAGAUGAAGGGGCCUUUCAGCAAAUCUUUGUUAGAGUAGUAAGGAUCCGUCAAGGGGAGACUAGGGGUAUCCGUUUUGUCACACCAUAUUUGGAAGGGCUUGUACAGGUUCUUGCAAGGGUUACAUUUGUUUUGGCUGAAGAGCCUGAUGCUAUUGCAUUCUGCCGCGAGAACAAUCUUGUAGCUUUGUUCAUUGAACUGCUUCAGUCUAAUGGACUUGACAAUGUGCAGAUGGUUUCUGCCAUGGCAUUAGAGAACUUGUCUCAAGAAUCCAAAAAUUUAACAAAAUUGCCUGAGUUGCCUCCACCUGGAUUUUGUGGCUCAAUUUUUCCUUGUUUUAGCAGACAGCCUGUAAUAACUGGAUUGUGCCGGCUCCAUCGCGGUACGUGUUCAUUAAGAGACUCAUUUUGUCUUUUGGAAGGACAGGCAGUUGAGAAACUGGUUGCGCUUUUAGAUCACACAAAUGAGAAGGUAGUCGAGGCUGCACUAGCAGCAAUAUCUACUUUGUUGGAUGAUGGUGUUGAUAUCGAACAAGGAGUGAUGGUGUUGUGUGAAGCAGAGGGGAUUAAACCCAUACUUGAUGUGUUACUUGAGAAAAGGACAGAGAAUCUGAGGAGGAGGGCGGUUUGGGCUGUUGAGAGGCUUUUACGAACUGAUGACAUAGCAUAUGAAGUUUCUGGAGAUCCAAAUUUGAGCACUGCACUUGUUGACGCCUUCCAGCAUGCUGACUAUCGAACCCGACAGAUUGCUGAGCGUGCCCUGAAACAUGUUGAUAAGAUACCUAAUUUCUCCGGUGUCUUUGCAAACAUGGGAUAGGCCUCUUCCAGUUGAGCUGUGCACAAGUUGAUUAUUGCAAGGACAUGUAUGUAAUUCAUCCCUCGUCCUGAACGGUUCUGAGGUGGCUAUGGUUUGCAAAAUAGGUAGAUAUUGUUGUAAACAGAUUUUGUUCAUUUGUUUUCAAUGAUGCUCUUUCCUUUUGCCUUGUUUCUUUACAUGGUUCCAUAUAUUGUACUUUUGCAUAGGGAGUGGAAUAUUAGUUUCUUUCUAUGAUGCUUUUCCAGCAUCCUUCAUUAAUAACUGAGACGUCUUAUUUUCCUGAGGUACACUGUGUUUUUACCAUUUAUACUGUAUGGAAGACAAAUUCCACUUAGAAAUGAUGUUGCAGUCUUUCAUU